AUUGAACGCUGGCGGCAGGCCUAACACAUGCAAGUCGAACGAGUGGCGGACGGGUGAGUAAUGUCUGGGAAACUGCCUGAUGGAGGGGGAUAACUACUGGAAACGGUAGCUAAUACCGCAUACCAUCGGAUGUGCCCAGAUGGGAUUAGCUUGUAGGUGAGGUAACGGCUCACCUAGGCGACGAUCCCUAGCUGGUCUGAGAGGAUGACCAGCCACACUGGAACUGAGACACGGUCCAGACUCUUACGGGAGGCAGCAGUGGGGAAUAUUGCACAAUGGGCGCAAGCCGGAUGGAGCCAUGCCGCGGGGAUGAAGAAGGCCUUCGGGUGGUAAAGUACUUUCAUCGGGGAGGCGUUACCCGACGAAGAAGCACCGGCUAACUCCGUGCCAGCAGCCGCGGUAAUUC
rnacentral:rRNA from 1 species